rnacentral:rRNA from 1 species
CCUACGGGUGGCAGCAGUGAGGAAUAUUGGUCAAUGGGCUUACGCCUGAACCAGCCAAGUCGCGUGAGGGAAGACUGCCCUAUGGGUUGUAAACCUCUUUUGUCAGGGAGAAACGCCGGCUACGUGUAGCCGGACUGAGGGUACCUGAAGUACACGCAUCGGCUAACUCCGUGCCGGCAGCCGCGGUAUUACGGAGGAUGCGAGCGUUAUCCGGAGUUAUUGGGUUUAAGGGGUGCGUAGGCGGAAUGCAAAGUCAGCGGGAAAAUCGCGGGGCCCAACCUCGCACCGCGUUGGAAACUGGCGUUGUUGAGUGUGGGAGAGGUAUGCGGAAGGCGUGGUGUAGCGGUGAAAUGCAUAGAUAUCACGCAGAACUCCGAUUGCGAAGGCAGCAUACCGGCGCCCAACUGACGCUGAAGCACGAAAGCGUGGGUAUCGAACAGGAUUAGAUACCCCAGUAGUC